CCCACCCUUUCUGUAUGACAUCAUAGUGGAGGAAACCUUUCUCAGGGCUGCCCAUCAGUGCCCAGGCCUGACUCUCUUUCCCUUAAAAGGUGACAGUGGCUUUUUGCAGAGCCUCUUCUCCAUAGCAAUGCCAACGUGUGGUCUUGGGCCUGCACCAGCCAUUGGGUGGGGAAGAGCUUCCCAUGGAAGUUAGGGCUUGGUCUUGGGAUGCUCAGAAGUGUUGCAGCAGAGAGGAGCAGCUCUGUGCUAUAGCCAAGUGUUACAACUCAGUGUGGUGGCUCUGAAACACUGCUCUGAGGCUCAGCUGAGCUUUAUUGCUCAGUGUGGCAUCUCUGGGUCACGGAUCUCAUUCUUUGAAGACUUGAGAAUCUGAUGGUCAGUAGAAGAGGUGGAGAUAAGCCUUUUAUUAUGCCAGUGAGCCCCAGUGGGCUCAGAGGAGUCUGAGCACUCUACCAGAAAUGAGAGCCUCCUUAUAUAGGGAGCCACAGGCACUGCUCUAUCAGAAGUAGUGGUCCAGCCCUGGCAACUGGAGCUCUUCCUCCUCCACCCUGAAACCCAGAGUCUUCCUCCCCUUGGCUGCACUGCUUCCAAGCAAAAUCAAGACCAGGUUGGGUGGAGGCAGGAGAGCACAUCUGAAGGCGAUUUCUUCCACAGUGUUGCCAUUUGCUCUGAACUCGAAAAAAAGAAGAAGAAAACAACUGCCAGGGAGCCCAGCAAAGAAAGAAGAAAACCGAGGUCUGCCCACACCCUACGGAGGUCCCGAGUUGCGUGGAACAUGCCUAAUCAGCCCGCUGCAGACAGGCAGGUCUGUGAACGCCCUACCGAGGUCCUGAGUCGUGUGGAAGACACCGAAUCACCCUGCUGCAGACAGGCAGCCACCUAGUUCCACACUAGAAAGACGCAGAGGACACCAGACCACCAGACCACAGUACUGAGUCCUGCUGCUCCUGGCCCAGAGAAAUAGAACUUCAGAGACAGAAGGGAUCUUAGAGAGUAAAUUCUUGCAGUGAUAGAAAGCUGAUUAGCACAUGGAGUAUGGUUCUACUGUUACUUGUUCUGAAGACAGAGGGAAAUGCCAUCAUCAUUGUGUGAAGGAAGCCUGGAACUCUCAUCCCUUUGCUGCCAAGUAAAUGUUAAUAGAAGUGAAAAGGACUGUAUAUCAAGAUAGUCACAGGAGCAAAGCUGCCACAAGUUUUUCAUACAGUUUUUCUUUAGAGUACUUUUCACUGGCUUCCAGUAACCUGAUCAAUCCAACAACCAGAGAAUUCAAUUUUCUUUGUCAAAAUUGAAUUGAAUUAGAUGUCAUUAUUCCCUGAGAGUAACCCAGACAUUCAUUGAAAAUUUCAACAGAGAUUUUCACAGAAAGAGUUUCAGCAAAGUCUAUGUGACUGUGAAUAGGAGAACAGAUGAAGAAACAAGGAGUCAUGCCUGUCUCAAAGGAGUGAUUUCACAAGGCAGUAAGAAAUGACCACAGGUUAUAGCUUGUGUUACUACACACUGAUGAUGCCUUUGAGGCUAUCCACUGAUGUCCUCACCCACGGCACAAUCUUUCUGAAGGUAUCGUUGGUUGUUUAUAAUGUUGGCAUAGUCUAGAAUUCAGAACUUUAAAUAAAAGUUCUAUUUUUUAGACUUCACAAAAAAAUUGAUCAGAGAGUACAAAAGUAUGUCUUCUGUCUUCUGUGCAGAUAGUCUUCCCACUGUGAUAUACAAAUACAGCAUCCAAGCGGCAAAUUAUUUUACAAUCAGUUAACCCACAAUGACAAAUCAUUAUCGUCCAAAGUCCAUAGUUUACAUUAGAAUUCACUCUUGGCAUUGCACAUUCAAUUUAUUAUUGUAAUAAAAUACAUAACAUAAAAUUUACUACUUGUCAGUUUUUAACCAUGUAGCCCAUUAGUACUAUGUUUACCUUGUAAAAUAGAUAUCCAGGACUUUUUCAUGUUGCACAGCACCUUUUUCCUUUACCCCAAUCCCUGAUAGCUAAUUGAUACUUUUU
ensembl:lncRNA